GAUUAAGGGUCAUCAUUUCAUUUAAGCAUUUUCGGUGAAUUUCCUUGGAUUUCCUUCAAAAUUUUUGCGGAUUUUAAGUUGUAUGUUGAAAGUAGAAACUGCCAAUUUCUGUUUUAUCGUGUCACAAUAUAUGAUUCAAUGCCACGUCAUACCUAUAGUUUGAUUUACUCGCGUACUUCAUACUACGGAUAUUAUUACCAUACAGUGCAAUGCCACUCUAAGAUGGAUUUAAUACCCUGAGAAAAUGAAAGUAUAUAAAGAAAAUGGAAAAAAAUGCCCAUAGACAUUUCCUAAGGAUGGUUGCUGGGAUAGCAAUUUGCUCAGAAUGUCUGCUUCAGAAUCCAAUCGCUAAUCGUAUUCGGUCUGCCGGCGCGCCCUUGUUGUCAUUCCUAAUGUCGAAUCUCGAAUGUCGAUCUUAUCUUGUGAAGUGAAAUAGUCUAAAACCCGGAAAGCAAAAUUGUGAUUGCGAUGGAGACUGCAUGUGGCCUUCAAAUCGCGCUGCUAUUCAAUUGUCCUGCUAGGAAUUAUGAAUAGCAUACGGAAAUGGAAUGAAGGUCGGAGAAUGGAGCCUUCAAGAUAGCCUAGACGCCAAAGGAAACGUCUAAGCUUCACUUCCCUAAGGAGAGCUGGCUUAACAGGUAAGUGGAGAGAAAAUCACCGUGUGUGGAAUUAGGUGUGGUAAUGUAGAUGCCAUGAGGUUCACGUAAGUAGCAAAUUACUUAUUGUUGCCUUGCAUUAAAUUUGUUCUAUUUUAACAUGCUUCAAAAAUUUGGAUACAGGAUUCUGUGAAGAGGUAAGAUUGUGUCAUUGUUUUAGUUUUGUAAUUACCUGCGAAUUUUUGAAUGGUGUUAGAGAAUUACACCAUAAUUGAUUGGAUGUUGAGUUUUCACAUGCUCAGUUCAUAUUCAGUGUGGAAGUUUGGAAAGCUAAACAUUUUAUUCAGACUUAUUUUUCUUUCUGGAGAAAAGGUGUGUCCUUUUGCACUUCCCUCUGUACAAUAUCUUGGACUGCUGAUGUUUUGCUCAAUACCGCUUUGGGUGUCUACUCCGUAGGGUGAUGUCUCAGCAAUUGUUUGUUCUUCGUCCCCUUCGCUAUGCCGAUCUCAUUUCUGUUGUUUAUAGUCUCGACUUCAGCGCUCCAAAGCCAUCUAGCUUGAACGCCCCACUCCAACCCCACUCCCAGCAAUUUUGAAGGGGACUGGAGGUGGUUAGACGUUAAGACACCGAUGUAGUGAGAAUGUUGAUAACAUACAUGAAAAGAUCGAUUACGAUGGUUAAGAGCUAAUAUGGUAACGUGGAAAGAAAGAGGUGACGGCACGGACCUAGCAUAAAGUGUGUGUGAUUCGAAGUUUUAACGAAUGGACAAAAUACUAAGGCUGGAAAAGUACUGGGCAGAUGGUGUGACAGCAAUGUUACGGAGGUGGUUUUCAUAUCCAGAAGUCGCGGAGUGCUUACCAGUGCCUAUAGGGGUCGGUAGGUUGCUGAGGAAUCAUCUGCUUUGUCAGGCGACGGAUGUAUUUUUUAUUAUUAUUAUUAUUUUUUUUGCGGUGUUCUUCAUUCAAUAGUUACAGAAUAUAGGUAAAGAGCAAUGAAAGUAAUAUGGGGUGGGGAGGGGAGAAGGACGGAGAGAAAUGUGGAUGAAUGGUUUUGAUUAAGGGAAAAAAGUUUAAAAGAAAAACAAAAAUCCAUAGUUGAAAAAUGAAAGUUGGCCAUUUAAAUGAGCGGCAAAGUGUUACAGACAGCCAAAAAAUAGUCCUGGCAGACAAACUUUGCAUAUAGUUGAGAGAGAGAGAGAGAGAGAGAGAGAGAGAGAGAGAGAGAGAGAGAGAGAGAGAGAGAGAGAGAGAGAGAGAAUCCUUUGGGAUGAAAGGGAGUGCGAGCAUAAAAUUGUUAAUUAAGAAUUAAGGAUUACACGUGCAGAAGGGAUUAAAUCGCUUCAUCCCUGGGUAAUUAGGAGGCCUAUGAAUUUUAAAGUUCUUGGCGCUCUCUCUC